AGAGUUUGAUCAUGGCUUAGGAUGAACGCUGGCGGCGUGCCUAACACAUGCAAGUCGAUCGAGACUCCGGCAGAAGAGACUUCGGUUAAAUUAGUCGGACGAUAGCGGCGGACGGGUGAGUAACGCGUAGGCAAUCUGCCCCGUACAGAGGGAUAGCCGUUGGAAACGACGAGUAAGACCUCAUGAUGCAGCACUUUCACAUGGGAGAGCUGCCAAAGAUUUAUCGGUAUGGGAUGAGCCUGCGUCUGAUUAGCUGGUUGGUGAGGUAACGGCCCACCAAGGCGACGAUCAGUAGCCGACCUGAGAGGGUGAUCGGCCACAUUGGAACUGAGACACGGUCCAAACUCCUACGGGAGGCAGCAGUGGGGAAUAUUGCACAAUGGAGGGAACUCUGAUGCAGCAACGCCGCGUGAAGGAUGAAGGUUUUCGGAUCGUAAACUUCUGUCCAUGGGGACGAAGAAAGUGACGGUACCCGUGGAGGAAGCCCCGGCUAACUACGUGCCAGCAGCCGCGGUAAUACGUAGGGGGCGAGCGUUAUCCGGAAUUAUUGGGCGUAAAGAGUGCGUAGGUGGCCCACUAAGCGCAGGGUUUAAGGCAAUGGCUUAACUGUUGUUCGCCUUGCGAACUGGAGGGCUUGAGUUCAGGAGAGGAAAGUGGAAUUCCUAGCGUAGCGGUGGAAUGCGUAGAUAUUANGAGGAACACCGGUGGCGAAGGCGACUUUCUGGACUGAUACUGACACUGAGGCACGAAAGCGUGGGGAGCAAACAGGAUUAGAUACCCUGGUAGUCCACGCCGUAAACGAUGAGCACUAGGUGUCGGGGCCGUAAAGGCUUCGGUGCCGCAGUUAACGCAAUAAGUGCUCCGCCUGGGGAGUAUGCACGCAAGUGUUAAACUCAAAGGAAUUGACGGGGACCCGCACAAGCAGCGGAGCAUGUGGUUUAAUUCGAAGCAACGCGAAGAACCUUACCAGGACUUGACAUCCCCCUGACAGGGCUUUAAAAGGCCCCUUCUUCGGACAGGGGAGACAGGUGGUGCAUGGUUGUCGUCAGCUCGUGUCGUGAGAUGUUGGGUUAAGUCCCGCAACGAGCGCAACCCUUGCCUUUAGUUGCCAUCAUCAAGUUGGGCACUAUAGAGGGACUGCCGGGGACAACUCGGAGGAAGGUGGGGAUGACGUCAAAUCAUCAUGCCCCUUAUGUUCUGGGCUACACACGUGCUACAAUGGCCGGUACAGCAGGAAGCGAAGCCGUGAGGCGGAGCGAACCCCAAAAGCCGGUCCCAGUUCGGACUGCAGGCUGCAACCCGCCUGCAUGAAGUCGGAGUUGCUAGUAAUCGCGGAUCAGCACGCCGCGGUGAAUGCGUUCCCGGGUCUUGUACACACCGCCCGUCACACCAUGGAAGUUGGUGGUGCCCGAAGUCGGUCAACAAAUCUACUGCCUAAGGCAAAACCGAAUGACUGGGGUGAAGUCGUAACAAGGUAGCCGUA
rnacentral:rRNA from 1 species